UACGGAGGGUGCAAGCGUUGUCCGGAAUCACUGGGCGUAAAGGGCGCGUAGGCGGCUCAUGAAGGCUGUGGUGAAAGUCCGGGGCUCAAUCUCGGAUCGGCCGUGGCGACUCGUGGGCUGGAGCACUGUAGAGGCGGGUGGAAUUCCGGGUGUAGCGGUGGAAUGCGUAGAGAUCCGGAAGAACACCAGUGGCGAAGGCGGCCCGCUGGGCAGUGGCUGACGCUGAGGCGCGACAGCGUGGGGAGCAAACAGG
rnacentral:rRNA from 1 species